CUGCAGUCUGACCGCUAGAUGUCGCUGAAAAUUACACACUGUAGCUUUAAGUUAUAAAACUAUUUUUUUACUGUUGUCACUGUUGUAGAUUUAUAGUGUAGUGUAGUGUUUCUUAAUUUUGUUUAUUGCUGUGUUUUUUGUUGUUGUUUUUUGUUAUUGUUUUGUCCUUCUUGUGUUUUUUCUCGUCUCUGUUUUACAGUUGGCCGACACCGUGAAGCAUUCUUCAUCAGCUGCACUUUUCAGGAGAACAAAAGAAUUUUCCAUAGUGAUGCUUGGUGACCUUAUAACUGAAAGUGGAGAUAAACCUCAGUGGUUAAGUUUCCUAAAAUCAUGAAAGCUUCUCCUUUACAUCCAAUCAAAGGCGAGCUUCAAUGAAUACAGAUUUGUGAAUGUUUCUAGAGAGGGAAAGAAGAAAAUAAUAAGGCAGAGGAAACAAACACAGAGAGGCUGCAGCUCAGUUAAGGAGAAGAACCAGGUUACAGCUCCGCUAGCCAUGGAGUCUAACCUCUUUAUGAGGAACCAGAUCGGAGCGACGCUGGAACCAUACUUUAGGAGACAGAAGAAAUUGGCACCCUUUGAGUUUUUAAGCCCACUAGACACUCAGAAUACCCAGGAAGGGGGUUCCCUCUUGUGUGGUCCUUCUCAAGGUUUCUUCCAGGCUCAGCCAUCAAUGGCUCAUUCUGGGAGUUUUUCCUUGCCCGCUUGAGGGAGGUGUCUUAAUCAUGUGGGCUUCCAAAUUGCUACUCCAUAAAUAAAAGCUUGAAAUAAUUGAA